rnacentral:tRNA from 1 species
GCCCUCGUGGUGAAAUGGAUAUCACGGCAGGCUUCGGACCUGCUAUUGGGGGUUCGAAUCCCUCCGAGGGCG